rnacentral:misc_RNA from 1 species
UACGAAGGGGGCUAGCGUUGCUCGGAAUGACUGGGCGUAAAGGGCGCGUAGGCGGUUUAGACAGUCAGAUGUGAAAUUCCCGGGCUUAACCUGGGGGCUGCAUUUGAUACGUCUAGGCUUGAGUGAGGAAGAGGGUUGUGGAAUUCCCAGUGUAGAGGUGAAAUUCGUAGAUAUUGGGAAGAACACCGGUGGCGAAGGCGGCAACCUGGUCCUUGACUGACGCUGAGGAGCGAAAGCGUGGGGAGCGAACAGG